ACUCUAAUAGUUUAUCAAAACAUUGGCCUUGUAAGCCA
rnacentral:tRNA from 1 species